UACGUAGGAUGCAAGCGUUGUCCGGAAUUAUUGGGCGUAAAGAGCGCGCAGGCGGUCUAUCAAGUCAGAUGUGAAAUAUCCAGGCUUAACCUGGAGGGGUCAUUUGAAACUGGUAGACUAGAGUACAGCAGAGGAUAGUGGAAUUCCCGGUGUAGUGGUGAAAUGCGUAGAUAUCGGGAGGAACACCGGUGGCGAAGGCGGUUCUCUGGGCCGUUACCUGACGCUGAGGAGCGAAAGCGUGGGGAGCGAACAGG
rnacentral:rRNA from 1 species